UACGUAGGGGGCAAGCGUUGUCCGGAAUCAUUGGGCGUAAAGAGCGUGUAGGCGCCAGAAAAGUCCGCUGUGAAAACUCGAGGCUCAACUUCGAGCUGUCGGUGGAAACUUUCUGGCUAGAGUCCGGAAGAGGAGAAUGGAAUUCCUGGUGUAGCGGUGAAAUGCGCAGAUAUCAGGAAGAACACCCGUGGCGAAGGCGGUUCUCUGGGACGGUACUGACGCUGGAGACGCGAAAGCCGUGGGGAGCGAACAGG
rnacentral:rRNA from 1 species